rnacentral:rRNA from 1 species
AGAUGGCGACCGGCGCACGGGUGAGUAACACGUAUCCAACCUGCCGAUAACUCGGGGAUAGCCUUUCGAAAGAAAGAUUAAUACCCGAUGGCAUAAUAGAACCGCAUGGUUUGAUUAUUAAAGAAUUUCGGUUAUCGAUGGGGAUGCGUUCCAUUAGGCAGUUGGUGGGGUAACGGCCCACCAAACCUUCGAUGGAUAGGGGUUCUGAGAGGAAGGUCCCCCACAUUGGACUGAGACACGGCCAA